rnacentral:rRNA from 1 species
CUACGGGCGGCUCCAGUGGGGAAUAUUGCACAAUGGGCGCAAGCCUGAUGCAGCCAUGCCGCGUGUAUGAAGAAGGCCUUCGGGUUGUAAAGUACUUUCAGCGGGGAGGAAGGGAGUAAAGUUAAUACCUUUGCUCAUUGACGUUACCCGCAGAAGAAGCACCGGCUAAUUCCGUGCCAGCAGCCGCGGUAAUACGGAGGGUGCAAGCGUUAAGCGGAAUUACUGGGCGUAAAGCGCACGCAGGCGGUUUGUUAAGUCAGAUGUGAAAUCCCCGGGCUCAACCUGGGAACUGCAUCUGAUACUGGCAAGCUUGAGUUUCGUAGAGGGGGGUAGAAUUCCAGGUGUAGCGGUGAAAUGCGUAGAGAUCUGGAGGAAUACCGGUGGCGAAGGCGGCCCCCUGGACGAAGACUGACGCUCAGGUGCGAAAGCGUGGGGAGCAAACAGGAUUAGAUACCCCAGUAGUC